rnacentral:rRNA from 1 species
CUUGCACGCUGGCGGCAGGCCUAACACAUGCAAGUCGAACGAGUGGCGGACGGGUGAGUAAUGUCUGGGAAACUGCCUGAUGGAGGGGGAUAACUACUGGAAACGGUAGCUAAUACCGCAUACCAUAGGAUGUGCCCAGAUGGGAUGAGAUAGUCGGUGGGGUCCAGGCUCACCUAGGAGACGAUCACUAGCUGGUCGGAGAGGAUGACCUACCACACAGGAACUGCGCCACGGUCCAGACUCCGCCGGGAGGCAGCAGUGGGUAAGAUUGCACAAUGGGCGCAAGCCUGAUGCAGCCAUGCCGCGUGUAUGAAGAAGGCCGUCAGGUUGUAAAGUACUUUCAGCGGGGAGGCGUUAACCGCAGAAGAAGCACAGGCUAACUCCGUGCCAGCAGGCGCGGUAAUAC